AUGAUUUGCCAGUCGCAUUCCCCCAAUUUGGUUUUUCUGUGUGAAACUAGGCAAAAGGCGGAAAAGAUGAGGAGGUUUUGGGGUCAUCUCGGCCUCAAGGGGUUUUGUGGAGUGGAUAGUGAAGGCAUGAGUGGUGGGCUGGCUCUGUACUGGCAUGAGUCGUAUGUAGUGAAGAUUCUUGAUAAAACAGAUCGAUAUAUUGAUGCUCAUGUACAGGUAGACCAGAAUGCAGAAAAGUGGAGGGUCACUUGCGUAUAUGGAGAGCCGAGGGUUGAGAAUAGACAUAUUAUGUGGGCAACAAUGCAGAACCUUAAAACCGUGAGUGACUUACCUUGGUUAGUGCUGGGUGAUUUUAAUAAGGCUAUGUGGGAUUUUGAACAUAUGUCGGCAACUCCGAGAGCUGAAUCUCAAAUGGUUGCUUUUCGGGACUGUUUGGAAGUAUGUGGUCUGGUGGAUCUCGGAUUCGUAGGGGUGCCUUUCACCUACGACAACAAACGAGCUGCUGCAAACAAUGUUCAGGUUUGACUUGAUCGAGCGGUGGCUACAAAUAUGUGGAGAAACCUGUUUGCUUUCUCUGUUGUCUCUCAUAUUACUUCACCAUGUUCAGAUCAUAUAAUGCUUUUGCUCAAGGCCUCGGCCGACCCAGGGCUGACGGGUGCAAAACCAAGGAGGUAUGAGUUAUUCUGGGAGACAGAUGGUACUUUGCCAGAGGUGAUUAAGGAAGCAUGGGAUGCGGUGGGGGUGUACGCAACCUUGCCCAGCUGCGUGAUGCCCUGUCAAAGACCACGAUCUCGCUCGGCACUUGGGUAG
rnacentral:rRNA from 1 species